AAGCUUUGGACCUGCGUAGCUCUCGCCGGUGAUGUAGAAAUCUCUCGUCUGGUACUCGGGAAACUUGUCCAUCCAACCGAGAAGAAAAUUUAGCGUGUCCACGGCUGCAACCACGAGGACCAGCCGACUCCAGCAGGCGCUUCGAGGAAGAGCAUAUUGGACACUGGAUCGAAGAAAGAGGGGUUAAAGCACCGAUCGAAAAUGCAGAAGCAUUGGGAUAGAAGGGUCCAAGCUCCGUAAAUGCUCCUCCACCAAUCGAGGAACAACCAGGCCCUGCCGAUCGAAAUCGAUGCAGAAGAAACUCUAGACAGGCAUGGUUACCUCCAUUUAGCCAGAGGGUCAAAGGCUGCGAGCUGGCUCUCGUUUCGGCCUCUGCGAAGUAGUAGAACAAGGC